rnacentral:rRNA from 1 species
UAUUAUACUUGGUUGAAAUAGGUUAAACUUGAGUAGUAAUCAGUUAUGUUCUUGAAACUUAAAGGAUUUGGCGGUAUCUCAGUCUAGUUAGAGGAACCUGUUUUAUGAACGAUAAACCACGAAUUAUCUCACUUCUUUUAGCUAUGUCAGUUUGUAUACCGUCAUUAUUAGAUAAUCUUUAUAAAGAAUUGUUGAAAUAGAUAUUUUUAAUAUAUUAGAUCAAGGUGCAGCCGAUAGGGAAGCAAGUAAUGGGUUACAAUAUAAUUUAAUAUAAACGGAUGCAAGAGUAGAAUGUUUUUUGGAAGGUGGAUUUAAUAGUAAUUGUGUUUUAAUAAGGGAUAUUGAUACCAGCUCUGGGAUAU